AGAGUUUGAUCAUGGCUCAGGACGAACGCUGGCGGCGUGCCUAAUACAUGCAAGUGGAACGCAUGAUUGAUACCGGAGCUUGCUCCACCAUGAAUCAUGAGUCGCGAACGGGUGAGUAACGCGUAGGUAACCUACCUCAUAGCGGGGGAUAACUAUUGGAAACGAUAGCUAAUACCGCAUAACAGUAUUUAUCACAUGGUAAAUGCUUGAAAGGAGCAAUUGCUUCACUAUGAGAUGGACCUGCGUUGUAUUAGCUAGUUGGUGGGGUAACGGCUCACCAAGGCAUCGAUACAUAGCCGACCUGAGAGGGUGAUCGGCCACACUGGGACUGAGACACGGCCCAGACUCCUACGGGAGGCAGCAGUAGGGAAUCUUCGGCAAUGGGGGGAACCCUGACCGAGCAACGCCGCGUGAGUGAAGAAGGUUUUCGGAUCGUAAAGCUCUGUUGUAAGAGAAGAACGUGUGUGAGAGUGGAAAGUUCACACAGUGACGGUAACUUACCAGAAAGGGACGGCUAACUACGUGCCAGCAGCCGCGGUAAUACGUAGGUCCCGAGCGUUGUCCGGAUUUAUUGGGCGUAAAGCGAGCGCAGGCGGUUUGAUAAGUCUGAAGUAAAAGGCUGUGGCUUAACCAUAGUAUGCUUUG
rnacentral:rRNA from 1 species